AGAUGUGAAGGAGAUCUGGCUACGACAUCUGUCACCCCAUUGAUCGCUAGAGUUGAUCAGGCGGAUCUGGCUGGCUUAGGCAGGUGUCCCCUUCCUCUCUCACCGCUCCAUGUGCAUCCCUCCCAAAGCUGUGUGCUCAGUCAAAGAGUAUGAUCUUCCCUGAAUAGAGAUGGACUGGUCUUUGGUCAACGGUAUAGAGUAGCUGUGCUGCCCUGCUAGAACCUCCAAAUAAGCUCUCAAGAAUCAUCAUUGUGAUUGAUACAAGAGUGUUUCUUUGAUUUUGUGAUUCUGUUUGCUCCAUCUCUUACCUCUGGGUUAAAAU
ensembl:misc_RNA 7SK 7SK RNA